ensembl:lncRNA
CCUUUCCCUGAACAGGUGCCAGUGGUCUGGGGGCGGGCAGCAGUGAGGUCUCACCUCCUCAAAGAUGGUGCCUGCUCCUACAGCUUAUGCCAGGGUCCUGGGGUGCACACCCAGGAGAAGAAAAAGCAACAAUACCUCUUUCUUGCUGCCUCGCAGGGGUGAGGGUUUGCAGGACCUCAUGGAUUCAACUGUCCGCAAGGUGCACACAUUUCUGUGUCUUGCUUGUGGGGCCACUGGUUCCACUCCCAGCCUCUGGACUCGGUUGUCAAAAGCCAAAUCCACCUUAGUGGAGAUCAUUUUUUCUCUUCUUCCUGAAACUGUUUAAGCUGGGCUAGAGCACUUGGUAGAACACUGGGACGUGUUGCCAACCGAUGUUGAAAAGUUGCAUUUGCUCCUCAGAAGUCUGCGUGCACAGCCCGGAAUUCCAGAGAAAUCCACCCUCCUUGCCAGCCUCCGGACUUUGUUUGCAGAGCAGCGUGCCACGCUGCAGGGGGAACACGGUUCCCAGCUACCCUUGCAGCUCGCGGUGGUCACGUGACACGGAUCUGCCCAAUGGGAUGCUAAUGAAGGUCUGGAGGCGGGGCUUCUAGGGAAGACCAAGGCCCCGGAUCCAAGAUGGCAGCCCAGGAGAACCGCUGGCACCCGGGUUCUUGGUGGCUCAGCUUCUCGCAUGGGCAUGAAGGUUCCAACCGAGAGCAAGCCUCCGUUGCCCGCGGGUCCCCUGCGGAGUCCCCGAAUUAACUUCCGUGACCAACUCCCCGCCGACUUCAAGCUUGCCUCGCGCUCCUCCCCGUGGUCCUGGCCUGAGCGCCAGGUGCUGUGCUGUGUGCCCCACACCCAGUCCUGCUCCCUGAUGCCCGCGCAGGGCCCCCGCCAGCAGCAGGAGGCACGUGAGCUGCUCUGUUGUGCUCCCCCGGCGGGCAGGGCCUCCCAGAGGGGAUGCCGGGGGAAGUCAUGGCUCAGAGUGGCCCGUGGGGGAGAGGCAGGAAGGGGACUGACACCCCCCCCCCCGGUUCUUCCCAUCUCCCGUCUUCCCUUGGACCGAACUCCCUGCAUUGUGGUUUCAUCUUUUCCCCAGGCUGCCAAACGCAGGUCACUGCAGGAAAGCGUUCUACCGGGGCUGGAGGAGGCUGGAGAGGCUGGAGGCCCAGCGACCACGGCUGUUUGCUGUCCCCAGCUGUUCCCGGCCGUCCCCGGCUGUCCCUGGCCCCCAGAGGUCACAACAAGGCUGAAUUUGGCCUCUGCCCUCCCUGGGUGGGCGGGCCUCACAACCCCAGGUCCGCAGGAAGUGUCCGUUCAAAUCUUGCAGCUACUUGGAAUUUUUAAAGUGCAUUGCACACACACUUCCUGUGACGUUUCCAGGACCCUUGGGGAAGGUCGGACUGCAGUUGGCGUUUCCGUGGUGAGUGGGGAGACCCAGCAGGUGUAA